AGCAAUUAAUACCAUCAUCUAUUUAGAUCUGAGACUUAAAACAGGCAUCUAUUGAGAUCUGAGAUUGUUAAAACAGAGGCAUCAUAGAUGCUCGUGGGUAAGUACAGACUGCAGGCUAAACAUCCCAUGCCAUUCCAACAAGCGAACACACUAUCAGCUAAACUGCAUCACUUCAGGGACGGACAACACUUGCGACUACCAACUCAGAGAACGAGCGGCCACUACUACUAGUCUACUGCAUCUAGAAAGACAGACAGACAGCUUCCACAGGAUAAAAGGAGCAGCAAAAGCCCGGUUAGGCCCACGACGAUGAGAAUUUCCAUUGGGUAUUUGAAGAGAGGGAGGUCCGUCUCAGGUAGGUACUGGUACCCAAAUAUUCCAAAUACUCCGGAUCCAAGACAAGACGCGUAAGAACCAAAUCAAGAACCCAAAAAUACAUGUCCAGAUGAAGGAGAGAGAAGGGGGAGCAAGGGGAUCACCGGCGAGAAGCAGGAAGGGGAAGGAUGUAGGGUCGCCGUCGCCAUGCGCCACGCCGCGGUCGCCUCGCAUUGCCCCACGGUUGCCUCGCGUUGCCCCGCCGUCGCCUCUGCUCAAGUUAGAGUCAUCGCUGCUCGAGUUAGA
rnacentral:lncRNA from 1 species